AGAGUGUGAUUUUGGCUCAGGAUGAACGCUGGCGGCGUGCUUAACACAUGCAAGUCGAGCGAAGCGCCUUAUACAGAUUCCUUCGGGAUGAAGGAUUUGGCGACUGAGCGGCGGACGGGUGAGUAACGCGUGGGCAACCUGCCUCACACAGGGGGAUAACAGCUAGAAAUGGCUGCUAAUACCGCAUAAGGCCGCGGCACCGCAUGGUGCGGCGGCAGAAGCUCCGGCGGUGUGAGAUGGGCCCGCGUCUGAUUAGGUAGUUGGUGCGGUAACGGCGCACCAAGCCGACGAUCAGUAGCCGACCUGAGAGGGUGACCGGCCACAUUGGGACUGAGACACGGCCCAAACUCCUACGGGAGGCAGCAGUGGGGAAUAUUGCACAAUGGGGGAAACCCUGAUGCAGCGACGCCGCGUGAAGGAUGAAGUAUUUCGGUAUGUAAACUUCUAUCAGCAGGGAAGAAGAUGACGGUACCUGACUAAGAAGCCCCGGCUAACUACGUGCCAGCAGCCGCGGUAAUACGUAGGGGGCAAGCGUUAUCCGGAUUUACUGGGUGUAAAGGGAGCGUAGACGGCAGGGCAAGUCUGGAGUGAAAGCCCGGGGCUCAACCCCGGGACUGCUUUGGAAACUGCCAUGCUAGAGUGUCGGAGAGGCAAGUGGAAUUCCUAGUGUAGCGGUGAAAUGCGUAGAUAUUAGGAGGAACACCAGUGGCGAAGGCGGCUUGCUGGACGAUGACUGACGUUGAGGCUCGAAAGCGUGGGGAGCAAACAGGAUUAGAUACCCUGGUAGUCCACGCCGUAAACGA
rnacentral:rRNA from 1 species